rnacentral:tRNA from 1 species
GCCUGGGUGGCUCAGUCAGUUGAGUGCUGGACUCCUGAUCUGGGCUCAGGUCAUGGUCCCAGAGUCAUGGGAUCAAGCCCUGUCUCAAGCU